rnacentral:rRNA from 1 species
UACGUAGGGGGCAAGCGUUAUCCGGAUUUAUUGGGCGUAAAGAGCUCGUAGGCGGCCGUUCGCGUCGGAUGUGAAAGCUCAGGCUCAACCCUGAGACGCCAUUCGAUACGGGACGGCUAGAGGUAGGUAGGGGAAAGUGGAAUUCCUGGUGUAGCGGUGGAAUGCGCAGAUAUCAGGAGGAACACCGGUGGCGAAGGCGGGUCUCUGGGCAGUAACUGACGCUGAGGAGCGAAAGCGUGGGGAGCGAACAGG